UUUUUUGAAGUGUUUCACAUUAUCUUUUCAUGAUAAAAAUAAGCUCUAUUUUGCUUCAAAUU
rnacentral:tRNA from 1 species